GCCUGCACAGGUUUAUCACGCCAAGGGAAAAAAGGCUGCCUGAUCCCCACAGCCGCCUCCCUGUCAUAAGCCCCUCCAUGCAGGGCACCCUGCAAAGCGGAACUGACCCUGGACUCACCACAGAGGCGCCGGCGCCCUGUCCCCAGGCCAGCCCGGGGCCAGCCAGCACAUUCAUUUGGGGGCAACAUUUUAAAUAACUUUUCCUUCCACAGCAAAAGUCAUCUGGCAGUCCUAGUCCCUUGAAAUAUGCUUCCUCUCAGGAUAUCUUUUAGUAAAGUGAAGUAUGUUCUGAGAGCUGAUUAAGAGUCUUUCAAAAUGCUCCCCUUUACACAGUCUGUGACUCCUCUGCUGGCCCCGGGAUAAGAGAGGAAAGCUCUGCUCACAUGUUUCUAGCUCCUGACUCUGAGGGACUGGGAAAUAGGACAGUAUGAAGGAUGCCAUGGGAGCAAGGAGCAUACUUGAACCCCCAGCAGCUAGCACAGUACCCAGCAUAUAGUAAGCUCCUGAUAAAGCAAACACUCUUGUAACCACCAGCCGAGUGAAGAAACAGAAUAUUAUCACCACUGCAAAAGCCCCCUGUGCCUCUUCCUCCGGAGCUGAGUCAUUAUUAUUUAGCCUAAUCAUUUCCCUGCUUUUCUUUAUAGUCUUACAACCCAUGUAUUUAAAACCUAAAAAAUAUGGUUGUGUUUUGCCUGUUUUUGAAUGAAU
rnacentral:lncRNA from 1 species